rnacentral:rRNA from 1 species
AGAGUUUGAUCCUGGCUCAGGAUGAACGCUGGCGGCGUGCCUAACACAUGCAAGUCGAACGAACCUUGGGGAACAGAUUACUUCGGUUUGAAGUUCCCCGCUGGUUAGUGGCGGACGGGUGAGUAACGCGUGGGUAACCUGCCGUAUGCAGGGGGAUAACAGUUAGAAAUGACUGCUAAUACCGCAUAAGCGCACAGUAUCGCAUGAUACAGUGUGAAAAACGAUAGUGGCAUACGAUGGACCCGCGUCUGAUUAGCUAGUUGGCGGAGUAACGGCCCACCAAGGCGACGAUCAGUAGCCGGUCUGAGAGGAUGAACGGCUACAUUGGGACUGAGACACGGCCCAGACUCCUACGGGAGGCAGCAGUGGGGAAUCUUCCGCAAUGGACGAAAGUCUGACGGAGCAACGCCGCGUGAACGAUGACGGCCUUCGGGUUGUAAAGUUCUGUUAUACGGGACGAAUGGCGUAGCGGUCAAUACCCGUUACGAGUGACGGUACCGUAAGAGAAAGCCACGGCUAACUACGUGCCAGCAGCCGCGGUAAUACGUAGGUGGCAAGCGUUGUCCGGAAUUAUUGGGCGUAAAGGGCGCGCAGGCGGCGUCGUAAGUCGGUCUUAAAAGUGCGGGGCUUAACCCCGUGAGGGGACCGAAACUGCGAUGCUAGAGUAUCGGAGAGGAAAGCGGAUUUCCUAGUGUAGCGGGGAAAUGCGUAUAUAUUAGGAGGAACACCAGUGGCGAAAGCGGCUUUCUGGACCACAACUGACGCUGAGGCGCGAAAACCGGGGAGCAAACGGGAUUAGAUACCCCCGGUAUCCACCCUGUAAACCAAUAAAU